rnacentral:tRNA from 1 species
AGCCGGCGACGUUAGCCGAGUGGUCAAAAGCGGACGGCCUAUAGAGCACUCGAACUAACUCACCGGCCAGGCGUGGGUUCGAAUCCCAAGCUGGUCU